rnacentral:snoRNA from 9 species
CUUCUGCGGUGAUGAAUUUAUGAAAACCAAUUCACAUGUCAGACUUCAGAGAUUCUUCAAUCAAUGAGAAGAAAUUUCAUACUUCUGAGCAGAAG